UACGGAGGGGGCGAGCGUUGUUCGGAAUUACUGGGCGUAAAGGGCGUGUAGGCGGCGAUCCAAGUUGGGGGUGAAAUCCCAGGGCUCAACCCUGGAACUGCCUGCAAAACUGGAUGGCUUGGAGACGGAAGAGGAGUGUGGAAUUCCCAGUGUAGAGGUGAAAUUCGUAGAUAUUGGGAAGAACACCGGUGGCGAAGGCGGCACUCUGGUCCGAUCGCGACUCUGAGGCGCGAAAGCGUGGGGAGCAAACAGG
rnacentral:rRNA from 1 species